UAAAGGUGGCACAUCGAGAUGGCUGAGAGACACUAGCUUGGAAAAGCAUCCGUCUGGUUUGGCAAGCAUGCAAGACGAAGAUUGGGAAGGAAGCAGUGAAAUCCAGGGUGGGAGUGCUGGAUGUCAUAACCAAAGGCAGAGGCAGUUGCAUAGAAAUGCUUCCAGUGUAUAUAAAAAAGCCGAUACACACCCCUGAAUUAAUAGGAAUAUAUAUUCUAAUUAAUUGACAGCAAGAGCUCUUGAUGGAAUGAAAGAACGGAUCUCCAGCUCCCCGAGCAAGAACCCAGACACAGCUAAAUAAAUUGCCGAGCCUCUGUCUCUAUAAUA